GCCAGCAUGGUAUAGUGGUUUGAGCAUGGUAUUAAGACUUUGCAGACUAGGGUUCGAAUCCCUGAUUGGCC